UGACUGCGUACCUUUUGUAUAAUGGGUCAGCGACUUAUAUUCUGUAGCAAGGUUAACCGAAUAGGGGAGCCGGAGGGAAACCGAGUCUUAAUUGGGCGUUAAGUUGCAGGGUAUAGACCCGAAACCCGGUGAUCUAGCCAUGGGCAGGUUGAAGGUUGGGUAACACUAACUGGAGGACCGAACCGACUAAUGUUGAAAAAUUAGCGGAUGACCUGUGGCUGGGGGUGAAAGGCCAAUCAAACCGGGAGAUAGCUGGUUCUCCCCGAAAGCUAUUUAGGUAGCGCCUCGUGAAUUCAUCUCCGGGGGUAGAGCACUGUUUCGGCUAGGGGGCCAUCCCGGCUUACCAACCCGAUGCAAACUGCGAAUACCGGAGAAUGUUAUCACGGGAGACACACGGCGGGUGCUAACGUCCGUCGUGAAGAGGGAAACAACCCAGACCGCCAGCUAAGGUCCCAAAGUCAUGGUUAAGUGGGAAACGAUGUGGGAAGGCACAGACAGCCAGGAUGUUGGCUUAGAAGCAGCCAUCAUUUAAAGAAAGCGUAAUAGCUCACUGGUCGAGUCGGCCUGCGCGGAAGAUGUAACGGGGCUAAACCAUGCACCGAAGCUGCGGCAGCGACGUUUAUGCGUUGUUGGGUAGGGGAGCGUUCUGUAAGCCUGCGAAGGUGGCCUGUGAGGGUUGCUGGAGGUAUCAGAAGUGCGAAUGCUGACAUAAGUAACGAUAAAGCGGGUGAAAAGCCCGCUCGCCGGAAGACCAAGGGUUCCUGUCCAACGUUAAUCGGGGCAGGGUGAGUCGACCCCUAAGGCGAGGCCGAAAGGCGUAGUCGAUGGGAAACGGGUUAAUAUUCCCGUACUUGGUGUUACUGCGAAGGGGGGACGGAGAAGGCUAUGUUGGCCGGGCGACGGUUGUCCCGGUUUAAGCGUGUAGGUGUGUGUUCCAGGUAAAUCCGGUUCACUUUAACACUGAGGCGUGACGACGAGGCACUACGGUGCUGAAGCAACAAAUGCCCUGCUUCCAGGAAAAGCCUCUAAGCAUCAGGUAACAUCAAAUCGUACCCCAAACCGACACAGGUGGUCAGGUAGAGAAUACCAAGGCGCUUGAGAGAACUCGGGUGAAGGAACUAGGCAAAAUGGUGCCGUAACUUCGGGAGAAGGCACGCUGACACGUAGGUGAAGUGAUUUACUCAUGGAGCUGAAGUCAGUCGAAGAUACCAGCUGGCUGCAACUGUUUAUUAAAAACACAGCACUGUGCAAACACGAAAGUGGACGUAUACGGUGUGACGCCUGCCCGGUGCCGGAAGGUUAAUUGAUGGGGUCAGCGCAAGCGAAGCUCCUGAUCGAAGCCCCGGUAAACGGCGGCCGUAACUAUAACGGUCCUAAGGUAGCGAAAUUCCUUGUCGGGUAAGUUCCGACCUGCACGAAUGGCGUAAUGAUGGCCAGGCUGUCUCCACCCGAGACUCAGUGAAAUUGAACUCGCUGUGAAGAUGCAGUGUACCCGCGGCAAGACGGAAAGACCCCGUGAACCUUUACUAUAGCUUGACACUGAACAUUGAGCCUUGAUGUGUAGGAUAGGUGGGAGGCUUUGAAGUGUGGACGCCAGUCUGCAUGGAGCCGACCUUGAAAUACCACCCUUUAAUGUUUGAUGUUCUAACGUGGACCCGUUACCCGGGUUGCGGACAGUGUCUGGUGGGUAGUUUGACUGGGGCGGUCUCCUCCUAAAGAGUAACGGAGGAGCACGAAGGUUGGCUAAUCCUGGUCGGACAUCAGGAGGUUAGUGCAAUGGCAUAAGCCAGCUUGACUGCGAGCGUGACGGCGCGAGCAGGUGCGAAAGCAGGUCAUAGUGAUCCGGUGGUUCUGAAUGGAAGGGCCAUCGCUCAACGGAUAAAAGGUACUCCGGGGAUAACAGGCUGAUACCGCCCAAGAGUUCAUAUCGACGGCGGUGUUUGGCACCUCGAUGUCGGCUCAUCACAUCCUGGGGCUGAAGUAGGUCCCAAGGGUAUGGCUGUUCGCCAUUUAAAGUGGUACGCGAGCUGGGUUUAGAACGUCGUGAGACAGUUCGGUCCCUAUCUGCCGUGGGCGCUGGAGAACUGAGGGGGGCUGCUCCUAGUACGAGAGGACCGGAGUGGACGCAUCACUGGUGUUCGGGUUGUCAUGCCAAUGGCACUGCCCGGUAGCUAAAUGCGGAAGAGAUAAGUGCUGAAAGCAUCUAAGCACGAAACUUGCCCCGA
rnacentral:rRNA from 1 species